rnacentral:rRNA from 1 species
GAUGAACGCUGGCGGCGUGCCUAAUACAUGCAAGUCGAGCGAACGGACGAGAAGCUUGCUUCUCUGAUGUUAGCGGCGGACGGGUGAGUAACACGUGGAUAACCUACCUAUAAGACUGGGAUAACUUCGGGAAACCGUAGCUAAUACCGGAUAAUAUUUUGAACCGCAUGGUUCAAAAGUGAAAGACGGUCUUGCUGUCACUUAUAGAUGGAUCCGCGCUGCAUUAGCUAGUUGGUAAGGUAACGGCUUACCAAGGCAACGAUGCAUAGCCGACCUGAGAGGGUGAUCGGCCACACUGGAACUGAGACACGGUCCAGACUCCUACGGGAGGCAGCAGUAGGGAAUCUUCGGCAAUGGGCGAAAGCCUGACGGAGCAACGCCGCGUGAGUGAUGAAGGUCUUCGGAUCGUAAAACUCUGUUAUUAGGGAAGAACAUAUGUGUAAGUAACUGUGCACGUCUUGACGGUACCUAAUCAGAAAGCCACGGCUAACUACGUG